GAAAAGAAAUGUAGAAAGAAUGAUGGAAAUAGAAAAUCACCAUUAGGCAAACACAUAAUAAUAAUUGUUUCGGGCAAGAAUCAUGAAUCAGUGCUCAAAUACAUGGGCAAAAGCAUGAUGAGGAACAGGUUAUUUGCAUAGUCUCAAAAUAGUUCCCUAUAAGACACUUAUGGUUACAAAAUAAAGACUAGUAACUUCACAGUGAAGAACUCUGACGAUGACAGACACCACCUUAAGCAAGUGAUCAGUGCAAACCAGCAGCAGUCGGAGCAGUAAUGUGCUGCAUUGAGAAGGGCACAAGAGCACUUAUGUGACAUUCUUGCCAAAAAUACAUACCAUCCAUCUAAUUAGGAGAAAACAUCAGCCAAAUCCUAAUGGAGAGAUAUUCAACAAAAUAAUGGCCAGUGCUCAAGUCACAGUCAUCGCAGAAUCACAGAGCAAGCGUCACAGACAGAAGACUAGAAGGCAUGGAAACCUGAUGCAAUGUGAGAGCCUGGAGUCAGUCCUAGACCAGCAAAAGGGCAUUCAGGGGAAAACUGGCAAAAGUCUAAUAACAACUAAAGAUCAGUCAGUUGGUCUUAUUUUAUCAGUGUAGAUUUCCUCGUUUUGAUCAUUGGACUAUGGAUAUGGAAGACUGUAACAUUAGUGUCAUAAUCCUUAGGGUGCCGCUUCGUCAGCUGGAAACUUCUGUGGCCUGCGGUGCCUAUACCUGGGCUUUGCACCCACUGGGCUCCUUCCGCCCACUCGGCCUGGCAGGCUGUGUUUGGCUAGUGCCAGCAGCCCAGAGCCCACACCUGCCAAAGGCAAGCAACGGGUGUGUGCACCAGCGAGUGUGGGGUCUAGACACUGCACAGACCAGUCAUACUGGCUGCUGCUGCAGGGCAGGCAGCUCUAGGUGUCGACACAUGUGCUGGCUCCAUGCAAGGCUGCAGCUGGACCAGAUGUAUCACACACAGCUUGCACUGUGAGCUCCUGCAUCUGGACGAGGGGAACACAGUGGCACCCAGAAGCUUGGAGAUGCCAGGAACCACAGAGCCCAAAAGAGGCUGUCACGGCCCUGGCUUGGGGAGCUCCUGGUCUGGGGCACUCAAAGGGCCUCAGCUCUUCUCUCCUUCUCAUCUCUCACAGCAUGGCAAGGGGUAUGUGUGGUGGAGGUGUGUUUUAGUCCUGUUUGUGUUACACUCUUUCAGUCCUGCCAUCUGGCAGGUCCUGAGUUCUUGUCCUGAGACCAGGAAGAACAAAGCACAUGGACAACUGGAGGAUGAGCAAAAUGGAGAGGAGCUUCAUUGAGCAACAGAACAGCUCUCAGGAGACCCAAAGUGAGUAGCUCCCUUCUGCAGCCAGGUCGUCUCCACAAAUGUCCAGCUCUCAGCAGAGAGGAGACCCCAGUAGGUAGCUCCUUUCUGCAGGCAGGUCAUCCUGAAGAGCCCAGGAGACCCAAAGUGUGUAGUUCCUUCCCUCUGCUGGCACUCCUGAAGUCUGCUGGAGUCUGGCUGAGUCCUGGGUGUUUAUGGGCUCAGAAGGGAGGAAGUCGUGCUGAUUGGUCCAUGGAUGGCCAUGGGCAGGCCUGGAAAAAAACACCAUAAAUUUUCACUUCUGACUUUGGACUCCACCCAGAACUGGCAGCCCAGUCCCCAGGCUUCAGGCAGUCCCUGACUUGAAGGUAGGGUUUCACUGGACCCACCCCUUUCCACCCAGGAGCCAGUCUGCCUCCUGCCACCAUCAACGUGCUGUCCACAGUGCCCAGGAUGUUCUUGCUGAGGGGCACCUGCAGGCCUGAACCCAGCUGGCCCUGGCCUCCCUCCCAUGCUUAUCAGUGCCCAAAGUCUGGAGGCAGCCGAGGCAGCAGGGGGCUGGCGUGUCAGUGCCCAGGCUCGGCCACAACUAUGCUCCACCCCAGAGCGCGUGCCAGGAGCAAGGAGAGGCCAGGGAGUGGGAGCAGACACUUUCAAGCCUUUGAGGGCAAGAGGCUUCCUGGGCUUCCAAAAGCACAGGGAAGCUGGGGUCUGGAACUGCGGCUGGGUGACUGCAGCUGCACCAGGGGCUCUGGCUCCUGUCCCACCAACUCAGUAUGGGGCAAGGCCUUUGUGUAUUCCCUAGCGGGAGCUGGCUCCUUCGGGCUCACAGCCUUGCUGUGCAUCCUCCACUGCACCUCCUUUGCUACAACUCCCAUGCUGCAGCCUGCAUCUUCACAGCUGUGGCUCCAGAUGGGCUGCCUCUGCCAUUAGGAGAAGCCAAGUGAGGAGUAUUUAAGAACUCUUUGUACUACUUUUGCAAGUUCUCUGUUGAAAUCCCAACCCACAAUGUGAUAGAACUAGGAGAUAGGGCUUGGGGAGAGAUGAUUAUUCAUGAGGUUGGAACUGUCGUGAAUGAGAUCAGUGCCUUUAUUAAAAAGGGCCUGGAGAGCUGCCUUGCCCCUUCCCCCAUGUGAGGAUGCAGCAAGAAGACGCCAUCUGUGAACGCAGAAAUGGUCCUCCCCAGAUACCGAAUCUGAUAGUGCCUUGAUCUUGAACUUCCCAGGCUUCAGAACUGUGAGAAAUAAACUUCUGUUGUUCAUAAA